UGCUCUCGGUUUAUCUGUCUUUGGCUUGGCAUGGACUCUUGGCUUGGCUGCUUGGCUUCUUUCGUUUCCUCCUCUGUGCAUCGUACGUAAGCGAACAGCUGUUGUGUUGUUGCUAAGCCGGAAACAAAGCAUGUGAAUGUUUGUUUUUGGCACAGCGUCGUUUGGAAAGUGCACUUCCUUGUUCUGACCUUGCCUUUUAUGGGCUGGAGCGAUAUGAUUCGUAAAUAUGCCACGGCGAAGUUGUCGAAGAUGCGAGAGUGCUACACUGUUAGAACAAUUCAUCGGUGCAUUCAAGUGUUACCUAUUAUAAGCUGCCAAAAGACCAAGCAGUGCGAAGCUCUUGGCUGACAGUGGUGCCUGCUAAUUUCCACUGCAAGGAUUUCGUCCACGAAUGUUAUCAUAGGUUACGCGCGACUCCAGAGGCAAUUUGGAAUCUCGGCACGAAAUCGUCUGAUGAAAAUCUGAGGUGCCCGACGCAUAACAUUUUGAACGUGCCACGGAGGAUCAAGGCAAAAAACGAGAGCAAAAAAUGGUGCACGCUGAAGGCGGAAAUGAAGCAUGAUCUGGCUUGCAUCUGGUCAUGAAGAAAUUGCUGACACGUUAGUUGCAGUCCACCUCCACCAACAGGGUGGAAAACAAAGAUCGCCAUUCCGAUUAGCUGCUAUCUCCCAGUUCAAGCACUUUUGUGUCUGGACACUGGUUACUGUGGAUGGGGUGUUACAAGCUUUACUGUCUGAUAUAGAAGAAUUUUCAGUGUCAUCAACGUCCAUUGAGGAAGGUGCCUUUACUAUCUGUGAAUCUUCAACUGAAGAAUAGCCCAGAAUUCAUGUUAACAUUCUCUACUCUUAUUAAUUCACUGUCUGUUUUCUGAGAGCUAAGAAAAAUGGAAACUAUUUAUUUGUCACAACUUCACACUGGAUACUGGUGUGGUACUGGCUUGACAUGUAAGCUAAAAUACCUGGAUUCUACAAUAAUUGUGUUCAACUUGGUGCAUUACCGUGGGCAAUGCCACAUUCACUACAUUUUUAGUGGGUCCGGUGCGCAAAUACUGUGUGCAUACUGCAUACAUACAUACUGUUCGAUAGGCAAAAAUACCUGAGCAGUGCUGUGUAGUCUUUUUACCCAAAGUCCAUACUCUUACUGCAAAGUCACAGUACGUAGAACAGCAAUAUGUAUCAAGUAUGCUGCGUAUGCAAUGCAGGUAUGCUGCGAUAGAGAUUCACAACUGAAAGAAGACUGUUGAGAGCAUCUAAAUUUUAAUGAGACGAGACUUUCGUGCACAAGGCUGCUCUUGUUAAUGUCUAACAUGAAGUUACAAAAUCCCAGAAUAUAUAAAACAUGUUGUAAUGUAGAGAGCGAGGGGUGGUACAGACAUAAAGAUAAUUAUAUAAUCAUAUAUAAUAAAAUAAAAAGGGGGUACAACUGCCCCCUCAACUCAACUCGACAACUCAAUAACUCUACUUAUUCUCUACCUUACAACAUGUCAUAUAUUCUGGAAUUUUGUAACUUGAUGUUAGACAUCAAGAAGUACAGCCUUCUGUGCAAAAAUAUUCUUUCUGUUGUGCACAAUCAUUAUGCAGUAAAUGCGACUAUCCAUUUCUUGUCAUUAAAUGCUUUUCCUUUCUUUCUUUCUUUUUUUCUGCAGUGAUGAGCAUCCAUAAGGACACAUGCCAGAAAGGGAGUCUCUUUGGGAUGACAAACCCUCAUCACCUCAUGAGGAUACAAUGGUUGACGAAUGGUUCUCAAGCACAUCGAAACUUCCAACAAAUAAUUCAUGAAAAAGCCAGUCAGUGCUAGCACCAAGAAUUGAACGUGGACCGUCCUGCUACCAGUCAGAGAUGUUCAGUGGCGUAACCACAAGGGGGCUAGGGGGGGCUCGAGCCCCCCCUACCUACCACGGACCGACCCACACAA